rnacentral:snoRNA from 1 species
CACUAGUGAUUAGAAAAGUCAUGCACCACUCUGGAGAGAUUUAUCUCUUUGUGCUGAUAGAAAAACUAACAACCCAUUUUAUAACUGAGCUG